GCGGGAGUGGCGGAACUGGCAGACGCGCUAGACUUAGGAUCUAGUGGGUAACACCGUGGGGGUUCGAGUCCCUUCUCCCGCA
rnacentral:tRNA from 1 species